CUACUGACUGACCGAUAGUGAACCAGUACCGUGAGGGAAAGGCGAAAAGAACCCCUGUUAGGGGAGUGAAAUAGAACCUGAAACCGUGUACGUACAAGCAGUGGGAGCCCACUUGUUGGGUGACUGCGUACCUUUUGUAUAAUGGGUCAGCGACUUACAUUCUGUAGCGAGGUUAACCGAAUAGGGGAGCCGUAGGGAAACCGAGUCUUAACUGGGCGAAUAGUUGCAGGGUGUAGACCCGAAACCGGGCGAUCUAUCCAUGAGCAGGUUGAAGGUUGGGUAACACUAACUGGAGGAC
rnacentral:rRNA from 1 species